AACGAACGCUGGCGGCAGGCCUAACACAUGCAAGUCGAACGCAUCCUUCGGGGUGAGUGGCAGACGGGUGAGUAACGCGUGGGAACGUGCCCUUCAGUUCGGGAUAACCCAGGGAAACUUGGUCUAAUACCGGAUACGUGCGAGAGCAGAAAGAUUUAUCGCUGAAGGAGCGGCCCGCGUCUGAUUAGCUAGUUGGUGGGGUAAUGGCCCACCAAGGCGACGAUCAAUAGCUGGUCUGAGAGGAUGAUCAGCCACAUUGGGACUGAGACACGGCCCAAACUCCUACGGGAGGCAGCAGUGGGGAAUAUUGGACAAUGGGCGCAAGCCUGAUCCAGCCAUGCCGCGUGAGUGAUGAAGGCCUUAGGGUUGUAAAGCUCUUUCGUCCGGGACGAUAAUGACGGUACCGGAAGAAGAAGCCCCGGCUAACUUCGUGCCAGCCGCCGCCGUAA
rnacentral:rRNA from 1 species